rnacentral:rRNA from 1 species
UACGUAGGUGGCAAGCGUUGUCCGGAUUUACUGGGCGUAAAGGAUGUGUAGGCGGAUACUUAAGUGAGAUGUGAAAGCCCCGGGCUCAACCUGGGGACUGCAUUUCAAACUGGGUAUCUAGAGUGCAGGAGAGGAAAGCGGAAUUCCUAGUGUAGCGGUGAAAUGCGUAGAGAUUAGGAAGAAUACCAGUGGCGAAGGCGCCUUUCUGGACUGUAACUGACACUGAGGCUCGAAAGCGUGGGGAGCAAACAGGAUUAGAUACCCUGGUAGUCCACGCCGUAAACGAUGAGUACUAGGUGUAGGAGGUAUCGACUCCUUCUGUGCCGCAGUUAACACAAUAAGUACUCCGCCUGGGAAGUACGGUCGCAAGAUUAAA